rnacentral:rRNA from 1 species
UACGUAGGUGGCAAGCGUUGUCCGGAUUUACUGGGCGUAAAGGGCGCGUAGGCGGCGCAACAAGUCACUUGUGAAAUCUCCGGGCUUAACCCGGAGCGGCCAAGUGAUACUGUCGUGCUAGAGUGCGGAAGGGGCUACUGGAAUUCUCGGUGUAGCGGUGAAAUGCGUAGAUAUCGAGAGGAACACCUGCGGCGAAGGCGGGUAGCUGGGCCGACACUGACGCUGAGGCGCGAAAGCCAGGGGAGCGAACGGG